GUAAAAAUGAGAGAUUGCAUUUUGAUUCACAUUGAUUAGACUGGUAUCCAGGUUGCAAUGCCUACCGAAAGCUCUACUGCCUUGAGCAUGGUAUCAAGCAUAGAUUCCAGAUAGCAGAUGAAGAUGGUGAUAUUUUAUCCUCAACUUAUCUUCCAGAGCUUCAGCAACUGACAAUGAGCUUCUGUCACCCAUUCCUGAGAGGGAGAAAACAGAAUUAAUAUUACAAGAAAAUAUCUCUGAAAUCUUAACCUUUCAAGAAGUGAAUGGACUUUAAAUACCAUUCUCUGUGAUGUAAAUGACAGGAUGGUUGUAUUUUCUCUUCAGAUACAGCAGAAGUUUGUAAAGUCCUUCUGGGUAUAUGUAGAGCCAGCUGCAAUCAGUCUACAGAACACACACACAAAAAGUA